AAGAAAUGUUCACAUUAAAUAUUGCAAUUUUUUUUUUUCCUUUUGAACUAUUUUGCUAAUUGUUUAAGAUUGCUAAUUAUUAUGCUGAAUUGACAGAACACGCCGGAAUCCAUGAAUGAAUCCAGUGUGUCUUGCAUAUCACCAGUGAUUUUGAAUUGAUUGAUGGUUAACUGAAGGAUACUUGCAUCAGACACUUAUAACAAUGAACGUAGGAGAUAAGUUAAAUGGCUUACCAUCAUUUUGAUUUAAAUAAACGUUUUGUUCUGAAUCACUCCCUAUCAGAGACUAUAGAGGCGUUCAACGUCUUUUUGGUUGAUAAAACUCGAAUGUUUGAAAACGAGAAUCACUCGCCCUUUAUAUACCCUGUGGAAAAAAAAAUAACGCCAAAGAGGAGGGACAGGGGGUGGAGAUUUUGGAGAAAGAAUGAGACCCGCACUCGCCAUAGCCGAGCCGGAACCUAGGUGAAUGAGAGAAAUAGAGAAAGAAGGGUGGUGCAAGGAUGGGCCACCUCGUCUACGGCCACCUGGCCGCCCCAUAAAAAAAUUUGUAUAUUAGGUAACUCGGCAAGAGGUAGAGACGAAAUCGAGGGCCCCCAUCCUUGGGUUCUUGUACAGGAGAAAGAGGGAGGAGGGAUUGACGUCGUAGCAUAUAGCGACGUAAGCUAUUCGCUUACAGGUGUACAGCUGGUGUUGCCGUAUGGAUAUCGGUGAGAGUGGAUUUCUCCCCGUCUUUUCUCUUUCCUCUCUGAGAUUGUAGACGCGAAGGGUCAGCGCAUUCCAGCCGACUCUAUAAGCCAAAGCCAUUAUGAGUCCUAGAGAUCACUUUGGUCUGUUGCCAGUAGUUUCCAGCCAUAACAAAUAGCCUAAACAUGCGCCACAGCCAAGUCUUCUUCUUUAACAUAACUGCCGAAGGUGAAAGGAAUUCAAUCCAAACUAAACCGAUGUCUAUGUUGUCCAGUCACGAAAUUAAUAGCAAGACAUCAACAGCAGCAGCAAAAUAUAAUCAACUUUCUCUCUCUAUAGAUCGUUCGUAUUGUCUUUUUUCAAAUGUUUCCCUGUUCGCUUCGUAACGCACAAUCUCGCCUUAUCUACUGUAGUCUACAACUAUCAACAAAAUAAAAAUCCAUUCAUUUAUGUUUUGCUAUACCCCACCCGUUAACCGUAUAUAGGUGAGUUUCUUUCACUGGCGUCUGAGUAAUCGCAAGGACUAGGGCGGAUGAAGGCGUGCUGACGUACGGACUUCAGUGUUGACCUCAAUCGGGCGUCUUGCGCGUUCGAUUUCUUCACCGAGUUCCGCUUGUGCCAUUCUGUAUUGUACCAACGGUUAACUCGAUUAAGAAGAAUCCAUUUUUGCAUACGACAGCCGGUUUAUCGUCGUUCGUUCACCAGAGAUUUCUAUCCAUUUUUGAAAAUGUUCCUUUAUUUUUGGGGCUCUUCUACGUUCUUGUCAACGGUUAUGUGGCUAGUGGGCCGUGAUGGACGAUGGCGGGUCACGGGACGUGGCCUGGUCGCGGAUUUAAACAUAUAUCCUAGAACUAAAACAACCGCAGAGUUUUUAUGACCGUGUCGAGUGGACAUGGAUCAUGGAUCACGGCCGCCGAUGAACUUUCCCCUAGCCUCAUUGAAAUGCUAAGCUUGUGCGCCAAAUUUUUAUGUGUUUUUACUUAUCUCUUCUUUUUUUUUUCAGAUAAAAAACCGAAUUUUCUUCGAAUGGGAGGAAAGGGGGAAGAGAGAAAUUGUGUUACUAGCUCCCGACACGACCUUCACUACCAUGUCCGCAUCGACACUAUCGCGGGUUCGGGAGAGAGUUGAAGGAUGUGAGACGAAGUCGAAGGUUGACGGAAGUGCGCAUUGUUUUUGACAAUUGAUUAAAAACGAAAUCGGAGAAACUUUUCAUCAGUUUUACCUGGAGAUUUAUACGACCGGUUAAAGUUUAAUGGAUUCAAUUACAAUUUGUGGGGAAUAACGAUGCGGAUACCUGUGGUCUCCGAGGAACGAGCACUCUGUUCAGUUAGCUAAUAGCCACUAUUACAACAACCAACUUCUGCAACCUGAAGAACCUGCGCGUUGGUCAGAUACUUCGAAGAGUGGGGCACAUUGAUUGAUUGAAAAACGGAAGAGACUGACCAAACUGGAUUUUAUGGCGAAUUCGUGGCCGAAUUUCGUUGCCCAGCGAUGCAAACCACUGGACGUUUUUUCCCGUUGUUUUUGUGUGUUUUUUUGUUGUCUUGCCUACACCGACCAAAUUGUUUUUAUCUGUUCGGUUUAAGGAAUGCAUUCCAAAUCGUUUGCGUCUUAAGUUCUUCUUCCAAUUUAUUUUAUUUUUUUCCUCUUUUGAAUUGCCUUCGGUAUAAUAAGGGCUAAACAAGGUCAAGCCCUCUGAGGGAAAGAGUCUCGAAUCCGGUUCAUACGCCCUUGUGAGUCCAUAUCUUUUAGCCGAUUUGACUCAUCUUUGAUCUCUCCCGUCAACUAACUGGUCGGUUGAAGAAAAGCGGAACACGUUUUUUUUUUUUUCUUUUCUCGUCUUCCUGUUGCUGCAAGUAACCUUGAACUACGGCUGUCGCCUUUCGUUUGAUGCAACACGAGAAGAAGAUUGGAAGGCUAGACUGUUCACCAGAAGGUAGAAGAGAAAACUUUCACCUGUUCUCGAAUCUCUCGCAAGGAAUUUUUGUUUAAGGUCGCAGUGGAUUUAUUUCAAAACCAAGAUUUUUUUUUCCCUUCCAGGCGAAAAAUGAUAAUAAAAAUUCUUCCUUUUUUUUUUUCUUUCCUCCCUAAAAUCCUCUCGACAGGUCCUCUGCCCAUCAUAAUGACCCAUUCGUCAAACUGAUAUGGAAUCAAUUAUAGCUGAUGGUGAUGCGUUUUGCUGGAAUUUCCGUUGCUAGCCUAACUAAGAGGAUGUGCUUUUUAACAACCUUAUUUGAGUCCGUUGCAGAUUAUGAAAGCCUGUUGUAUGCGUAUAAAAAUAUAGUCUAGAUCUUCCUUGAUGGCUUCUCUUAUAUUCGAUUUGUUUUUCCUUAUAGCUCACCUGUUUGAUUUAUGUAAAAGAGAAAAAGCAAAAGGAGACCAAUGUUUUGAAUGAACGUUCUCGUACACGCCAUGAUGGAUGAUCUCACACCCAGCAGGUUGUUCAACUUUUUCCGAUUUCGUUACACAGUUUAAAGAAAAUCAUUGCAAGACAACAUUCAGAUGACGUGUUGUUUUUUAUUUAUUUAUUUUUGGGGAAAAAUCUAUUUCUCCCCCUAUUCAAACGAUUGCGUUAGAUUAUGCAGGCGGCCCCGUGGGCCUUUCAAAUAUAGGAGUUUGACCCACUUGUCCGUCUACUGGGGCCCGUCUCACACACAGGCCUUAAAGCUUUUUCAUGAUGUCUGCGUAUCUACGUGCGUCUAUGAAAUUCCUGUCGGUUCUUUUUAUUCGGUUUCUUCUACGUAUUAUUUUUUUUUUAAAAUAAAACAUAAAAAUGGCCUGUUAUUUUGUUUUCCUCUUCUUUUCCCUUUAACCUGUCGCCCCACGCUCAACAGGUGCACUAAGGUGGCACUAUAGCCUAAAGCCGGACUUUGGAAAACGGUCGAGUCUCUUUUCUCUUUCUCUGCUACGAUCUGGCACGGAUAUUUCGCAUGACGAGAGGAGAUAUUGUCGGUCUGUUUGAUCCCUUCCUUCAUUUUCGGACCAGGUGGCAUUGUGGAUGCGUGCGCGUACCGUCUAGACGAUCUCACUCGUCUAGCUGCAUCCAGAUUGAACGCGUUCGGUUCCAUUUCGGGUUGUUAGUUCGUGAUACCUGUGCUUUUUGCUUUCCUAUCCGGCAAACGGCACAGAAGGAUAUGCACGCAAGGAAAACCAUUGAAUGUAAUGACUUAAGGAGGCCAGCAGGGUAUCCUGUCACUUUCAUUCGAAGCACUGUUUAAUAAACAGUUACGGCCUUAUUUGACGGUCUUUUGAUUUGAUUAUUAGUGCCGGGGUUUUUUGGUGACAUGUCGAAAUGUUUGCCGAAACGCGUGGAAUGACGACUGAAAUGGCAGGAAAGAAAACGGUCGUAUUGUUUGUUAACAACGUGCGUGAGCGCGACCGACAGGUUCCGCUUUCUUCCUUUUAUCUUUAUACGACCCCUAUGGUUGUGUAUUUUAGUAAGGUACUUUUUAAUCCGUGCUGUGGGUGCGACGGGAUUGUGUAGGUGCAUCGGAUGACCCCAACAAAGCUGACGAAAAGAGCUUUCGCUUUCCAGAACCGUCUCGAUCGACUUGGCAUCACGCGGACAUUAACGGUAGAAAACGUGUAUGGGAAAAAGCUAUACAAACAACAGUUGCGAUUUAUUUCUGUCCAAGACGAAGAAAUAAAUGUCCACCCAAACUGGGAUUUUCAAAAUUUUA